GUUGACCCGACGAGCUUGCCGCCGAUGAAGACGGCGGGGACGGGCGGCGCGCGGCCUCCGAGGCGGCGUGCGAGGUCCCGCUCCAUCUCGCGGCCCCGGGGGUCCUUGUCCAGCUCGUGCUCCGCCGCCGCCACGCCGAGGUCGGAGAAGAGGCUGGUCACCGUGUGGCACAUCGGGUACUCGCUCGCCGUGAAGAUCACCACCGCCUUUUCGGAGGAUAGCUUCGUCACUCUCUCCAUGAUCUUCUUCUUCUUGGUGGAUCUGGCUAGCUAGUGUGUGUACUACACUUGGUAACUAGUUUUGCACGCUCAGGUGUUUGUUGUGUUGUUGUGGUGUGGACUUGUGGUUAAUGGAGGCGCGGUGCCUUCUUUUUAUAGUGCACGUCUGUCUCUCUGUGUGUGUUUUUAGCUGGGACUUAAUACUACUACUGAUGACAAUGCAACCCCUCCCUGCCUGUGUGAGAGAGAUUUUACCUUUGUGGAUAUAUGCCCUCGUUGGCCUUGUUGAUCAUCUGGAAUCGAUUCUCCCCCUCGCGCUGUAAUUAAGGCUGUUUAGUGGAUGACAUGGCCAAGGUUUCAUAGAUGCGCGUGGCAGCCCAGCCGACAUAAGCAAUUGGAAGAAUCAGGAGAAAUGAAAAAUAACAAUCAGUAUUUAUUUUUGGAAUCUCAACCUAAUCAGAGGAAAAUUAAUUACAAAAAUAUAGAGAAUAACAUCCCUAAUUUUUUUAUUACUGAACCUCAAAAUGAAAAACUAAUAACUUUGGAAAGUAAGGUUUUUCAGUCUGAUCCAAUUCCCAUUUUUUUUCUUGAAUAUUUCUGAAACGUUAUACCUUCAAUUUUUUAAUAAUACUAUAUAGGAAACAUUUUUGAAAUAUUUAUAUUUUUCUAAUUCUUUUGUGAAGUAGUAUAAGGUAAUUUGAAGGAAAAAAUGGAGGAAAACCAAAUUAUAAACUUUAUAACGAAAAAAUCGUACUUAGAAUUUUAAUAAAAAAACAGAAUUGUGUUAAUUUAAAAGAAGCAGAAUAUCAAAUAAAUAAAUAAACUCUUGAAGAUUAAAAAUUCCAGAAAAUUUGCCGAAAAGUAUACACGAUGAGAAGUAUCUUCUUUGUUGAAAAAGAAGCCUUUUCAAUAUUAUUAAAUUCCAUAGCUCUUCCAAUAUUUUUGAAUGACCGGGCAGCUGCCAUAUAUGUGUGCAAAUUAAUAGUCCGCCACGGCAUUGUAAAAACCACGUUCAUUGAGGUGAGAGAUGCAAAUCUAGACAGUUCAGAUUUGUCAAAAUGCCUUUUACUGAGGUGAAAUUUCAAUGGCAACGAAGAAUAUAAUGUCCACCGUUGAAAUUGAUCGAGCGACCAAAUGGACUUUUUCAUAGAAAAUAGUCUUGGUUAUAUGGCACUGCAGUUGCAGAUAAGUCCUCCUCUCUGUGCAUUAUAUGUACAUGAAACAUUAUAUAUGCAUGUACAUAUAAUAUAAUACUUCUACAUUGACAUAUGCAUGCAUGUGUCCAUUUUGAUAAAGAAGCAGAUGUGCAUACUGGAUGAGGGAUAGCAAGAUAAAGUGGGAAUAUUUUGGAUGCCAAUCACCGAAAAAAAAAUCUGGAAUCACACCAAAGCUUGGCAGAUCCCCCAAUCUUUUUCAUGUCCUGGUCCACAUACUACAGCAUUGGAUUCUACUACAUAUCUAAAUGGCUUACUCAGCUGAUAUCUUUUUCAAUAAAGCAAGUGGAUUUGUUAUAAUUAUCAGAUUAAUAGUACGUACGUUCUAGUGGGUACGUAUGCUUACAUAUAUAAAAUAAAUGAAAAGAGGUUGAUUUCUCUAGCUAGCACGAAUUAAUUCAGGGACACAUUUGUUUCUGGUGGGCAACAAAUCUCCUGAAAUCAGUAUGUACGUAGUGAACAAAAUUUCACCUUGACCUUCAUUAAUAAAGCUCUGCAACGACUAUUUAUAUAUAUAGUUGCCUGUCCUUCAAUUGAUUUAUUGUGCUUCCUGUGUUGAAUACUCGCUCCAUUUCAUAAAGGUUGGCGUAUUUUGUUUCGUUAAGACAAAACUUUGACUAAUGAUAACUCUAUUACAUGUGUUUUUACAUACAUAAAAUUUAUAUCAAUAUACUCAUCUUUAAAAGUUCUUUCUAAUAAUCAAGAUUUUAUAUCGUGGUUACAUAUUAAUAGAGUAAUUCUUGGUCAAAACCUUGUCUUAACGAAAUAAAAUACGCCAACCUUUAUGAAAAGGAGAGAGUAUGUGAUAAAAUGUUAGUUAAGUUACAGGGAAUUCAUAAUAUUCUUGUGCACAUUUCUGUAACCGCGGAAAACCAAAACCCACAACAGUGACGCUAGACGAAAAGUCGAAAAAGAUCUAUAUAAACUAGAAGCAAUCAAAUGUACAACACGUUGCACAACGACAUGUCUCGAAUAUAUGUACUGCCUUUAUGUCGAUAUCAUCACAUGUACGUACAGGGCACACAAAUCUGAUUCCACAUUAAAGAAAAGAAAACGAAAUAAACAAAGUCAAAACUAAAGUGAUCAUGCCAAAUGCAUUAGGAUAGUCCUUGUAAAUAUGAUGUAUAAGAACCGACCUAUAAUAUAUCAUAUGCUCGCAAUGUGGCACCCAACAUGCCACGCCUUUGGCAAAGGGCUACCUUUGCUCGAUCUUAUCCAUAUUUCCAUGCAUUUCCAUAUUUGUGGUUUUGGAAUAUGUAGAUAAAGCCAUUGAUGCAUUAGGAUGGAAAAGGUAAAGUCACCAAAUGCAAGCAGGUAGCUAGAGGCAUCAAUGUAUCGCUCUUUUCUCUCCUGCGACUGCUCAUCACACCCCUUACCGGGUCGACAGCUUAGAGUUUAUAUACAGUGCACACGAAUGCUGCAAUCCAAGUUCGCGUGCAAUAUCCCAUUCAUUCAUGCAUGUAUAUCGCUUAUCUUUAUAUCCAUGUCUAUUAUCUUAAUUAGUUGCAUAAGUAACAUGAAUUGACAUCAAGCUAGCCAUGUAUAUACAUAAACAUGAAUUUAAGUUAUAUCCAAAUUAACAUGCAUGUACCUAUCUAUAGAUAGUUGAAACUAUAACUUGGCGUGACAAAUAACUAAGUUUGAAGUUAAACUAUGUAAAUGCUUAAUUAGGGGACCUAAAUAAAUAAAUAAAUUUGAUUAUUAUCCAAUCAAAUACAUUUCCAAUUUUAGUAUUCAAUGUAAAUACAUCUUAACUAUUAUCCUGCUCACAUAUAUCAUAUUGUAUUAAUUAUAGUUAGUGGCCAUAUAAUUAUUAUUAUAGUACUUCUUUCAACCUUGCCAUAAAGAUGCACCUUUCCAUUAUUUGGGUGCACUUUAAAUCAUCUCGACUUCACUAAUCACCUUUUGUGAUAUCAUAAUGUUUGUUUUAAUUUGUGAUGAACAACCAUUGGUCUCUCCAACUUUGCCUUUUCAUUUACUCGUAGAGAGCAAGGGGUGCAAUCUUUUUUCUUUCCAAAUUAACCUCAUUGAAGGUGAAGGACAUGGUUUUUUUUUCGUUCUUGGAAUAUGAAGAGCUAUAUAUUCUGGUAGCUCCUUUUAUCUUUAAAACAAAAAUCAAGAAACAAGUUGAGUUAAAUCAUGUAUAUAGUUAUGAAAAAACAUAUUUGAUCCUUAUAGGAGAAAAAUAGUUCAUUUGACUUGUACGUAUAGAUUAUUUGCAGUUAUUAAUUACAAUGGUCUCUGAAGAGCACCAUACAUGAAACAACUUAUUUUUCACGUAGCGAGCUCAGUUUUUGUCUGGCCCUGUUUUGGAACAGAGUUUCUCCAGCCAGCUUCUGAAUAUAAUAUAAUCUGCAUGGGAUCAUAUAUAUAGUUGGACACACACGGGAAUACCAGGCACAGUUUGAAACUUUGACUGCAAAUACCCUGUCAAAUAUUUAGACUGAUAAAAAUUAUUCAUAAUAUUGUAAUUUUGUUGGUUUCUACAAAUAUUUUACAACAGAAAUUAGCAGCUCGAGUUACAUUUAAUUUGCGGACCGUAUUGUAGUACAUGUCGAUCGACCAUGUGUGUUCCUGUGACUGUUAUAUACUUUUUGUUGAUUUAUAUAUAUGUAUCGCGUGCGUGUAGACUUAACCAUCCAACGAAACAAAUAGCAGUGUAAAGCAUGGCAUAGCAAAUAAUUAGAAUAAACUUCAAUUCCCAUAUAUAGUGGAGAUGACAAUUUAACUACAUAUGUAACCCAACAGUUUACAUAUAAUAUACUCAUUUAUAUCUCAUUGAUUACCGACUCACAGACACACAUAAUCAUUAUAUAUCUCAUGGAAAAAGGGCGAGCGAAUUAUGCAUACAUCGAUGUAAGAUAGAACAAUUGCAUCACAAUGGAUGAUAGUACUACGUCAACAAUGCACACAUCCCUCACUAAUUAACUACAAUAGCGAGGUAGCUAGAACCAUAUUAAUUAUGUCAUGGAGACAGGAUUGAAAAAACCUGCCCUUGAUGCACACUAGCUAGGCCAUUAAUUUAGGUUAUUCCAGGAAAAUUUUCUUAUACUUCACACUCUUCCACCGCGCGCAUGUUAUUCAUGUGUUAAUUUGUUCAGCUAGAACUCUAUAGCCAGAGAGCACCUGCAUGCUUCAGCAUGGGGACUAGCUCGCCACCAAGGUGAAGGGACAUGACCUUGUUGGUCCCUCCGACAAGCUUCCCGCCGAUGAACACUGCUGGCACUGCUGGCCCCCUCCCGAGCAUCUUGAGAAGUGCCCUCUCCAUCUCCUUGCCCCUCGGAUCUUUGUCGAGCUCGUGCACCAGGGCAUUGACCCCGAGCUGCUCACUGAAGAGGCGUUCCACGGUGUGGCACAUGCAGCAAGAACUCAGGGUGAAGACCACCACCGCACGCUCUGAUGCAAGCUUCAUCACACGGUCCAUCUGCCUGGCUGACUAAUCUGUUAUUGUAUGUGUUUGAUCGAGCUUCAACCGAGAGCUUGUCUUCGAAGUGAUGAGGGAAGAAGAAUUGGAAUUGUGUGUUGUUGGGUGAGCUUAUGAGUAGCUAGUAUGAGCUUGUUUGUGGAAUUGGACUUGGGAUGGUUUGGUAGCACUGGGUUUGGCUUCCUUUUAUAGGUAGUAUCCCCUUAACGGGUUGAGACCCAAUAAUAGAAGUAACGUCAAGAAGUGUUUGGAACACGCGUGACCUGGCUAACUUUAACACAUUAUCAUACUUAAAUGUCAGAAUGAACCUGUAAGCUGUCAUAGGUCUAUAGAUAGCUAGCAAAUGAUCUUUGACUUUAAUUAGAUGGACUAGAAUUUAUAGAAUAAUUAGUUGAAGGGCAUGUAGAUGGUUUUGGGUCCAAACUCUAAAAGACCCUGCCCACUGCCCCACUUUUAUGCUAAAAUGCCUUCGUAUGCAUGGAGAGAUCAAUCUGGAUCAUGCAUCGAACCAUCUUUUGUUCAAUAUGGCCCAAAGAAUAUUGGAAUACUUUAUUUGGUUGACCUAGAGGGAAUCUGAUACAUUCAACUAUAUAUGGGCAAGGUCCUCUCGGACACAUGCUUAGAUGAUUUGGCCGAUUAAGCUUUUGCUACAGUUUCAAGGAACCAUGGAUGGCAAGAGCACUGAUCCUCCAAAAUUUUGUUAGAUCAGUACUUUACCUAAUUAUAUACCACCAGUUUUAGAAAAAAAUAACAAGAUAAUGUUUUACUUCGAGAUUGUACAUUCUUGGUUUGUUCACUAUAAGGGCCGGGGUCCAGGGACAUGUAAAAAUGUCAUGCAAAAAACACAUAUAGCUUGUUAUUAAAAUGGUCCCUAUGAUGGAAAUGCACAAAACCCAAAUAUGUCAAUAUCUUGUAACCACAAUAACAGGUAGAGGGAAUUUACUCAUACAAAUCAAAAUUAAUUGAUUGAAAAAUUCAGUGAUAAAAAUUGAAAUGCUAGGACAGUACUGAUUUCACCUGCUGCAAUUCAGAACCAAGACAUGUAUUGCAAAAUUUCAAUUAGUGGUGUGGCAACUCAUGCAUUCUGCUUAGCCCUGAAACUCGGUACCACAAAGUACUUACUAGCACAAUUCUGCAGAAAACGUCUCAAUGACGACAAGAACCAUGUCUUGGCAACGAUUGUGACCUGGCCCAAAACAACCAGUAUGGUACGGCCACUGCUUUGCCAAGAACCGAUUCCAAGCUGGUUUCUGAGGAACCGGUGCCGAGUCGCCUCAGUUUCAGAAUAGCAACCACACAGUUCUUCUCGAUCGCAUCACUUAUCUAUAUGCAUGGAUACAGAAUCUGGCCAAGUUGCCUGCUUCUCUUCUGCUUUGCUAACCACAUCAUCAUCGUCAUCGUCGUUGUCGACAUGGACUUAUGAAAUAUGAGGCGCCGCGUUGCCACGAUCCAAUGACGGUACAAUCCAUGGCUCCCCGCCUUUUCCUUGGAUCAACAUCCUCACCGAAAUACCGAAUUCUUCAUGGAAAAGUGGAUGCUGUGGACCUGUGGCAUGGGUGCUACCUGUAUGAUGUUGCAAGCAUCUGUAGAAAGUAAGAUACUAGCUAGCUAUCAGAUGAUUUUUCCUUCUUUUUCUCCAUUUCUAAUAUUGCAUGACGCAUGCGCUGUGGCACACGGCCGGAGAGAAGGAUAUAUUCUAGGAUAGAGAUAUGCUAUCUUGUCCUCUACAUCUGCCUUCAUAGUUGUCACCUCGAAAGAUAAAGAGAAGAAAUCUCACAAUGAGAGAAAAAAAAACUAGUGUUUCUGUAGAGCAAUCUUCGAUGUUCGAGAAUUUUAUGUUUCUUCAUGAAUUUUUAACUGGCUCCUCGCCUUCUCAAGGGGCACCCUUUGGCUCCUGCAAGUAGAAUGCAUAGCUAACUCUUCAGAUCAAAUCUUGCUGCAUGCAUCUCACAGUGCGCUAAGAAAUUCUGAAUUAAUUAGUAAUUGUCUGAAUGGCAUUUUCAAGCCACUGAAUUUUGUAAGACCAGUUGAAAUUGUCCGAGAUUAGCCAACUUUUAAAUUUAUACCUACUUUUUAGGUGGUGUUAUUUUCUCCGAAGUAGAAUUACAGAGGUACGUGUGGUGUAGUACAACAUUUGAACAGAACUUUGCGUGCUUAUGAUAUCCUCCAACAUGUGCAAGACAAGACCUAACCUAGCUAGCUAUAUCAAUUGCUACCAUAUAUGCCUUGAUGUGGCGGCACCUAAGAGGAUCUUAUUCCAUUUCUGAAGUGGGAGAUCUAUCGUGUACAUUCUAUGAUAAGCAUGAGAGGAGAACCUUUAAUUGCUUGAAAUUUAACAAAAAGAAUACCAGUCAUGUGUAAUUAAAAGUUUCAUGACUCAUCAGAUCCCUAAAAUUCAGUGAAUCCUUCUGCAUUCACCAAAUUGGAGCUCCAUGGUGCCCUGGUAUCAAGAUUAUAUUUUAGCAAUGGUUAAAGGCUUGAACGAUCUUUAAACAAAAUGAAAAAUAUUUUAGCAAAUGGUUAAAGGCUUGCACAAUCAUACCUAUAUAUCCACUAGCAAGUGCAACAUACAUUUUGCCUAACAUAUAAACUGCAUUGUGUCUUCUAAAAUAGUGCCACGGCCACCAGAUUGGGAGGUCGUCUAUUUCAAACUUGAAAGCUCAAGCAAACUUCCAAUAUCUUAAAACAUAAUACAACAGCUGCUAGCAAUGAAUCGAUCUUAUGAAGAGGGGUCAACAACUAUGGCAUCAUGACAUGAGACAUGACUAAAAAAAUAAAAAAUAUAUAGCUAUUAAGAUAUUAAAUGUGCAAUUAAGAAUUUUUUUCAGAUAAUCAGCUUAAUCACUGGACUUAGAUUAGAUUGGAUUGGACGGUUAAGAUAGCUAGUUUGAUUUAGACUCUGACUUGUAAUUUUUUUAUAUUGGUAAGAUAUAUGUGAUGCUUCUAUUUGUCGGUAUGCGAUCUAGAAAUAAAUUUAAAAGCAAAAUCAAGCAGUCACCAAAUGCUAGUAGCUAGAUUCAUCAAUACAUCGCAGGUGAUCAUCAAUACCGGCACAUUUGUAGUGCCGCCGCAAAUAUCUCUCCAUCACAGUGUACAAAAUUAUUAUAUGCAAUCUUUCUGAUCUGUACACUGUGAUCAAUGUGUAUACAAAGAAACAAUUCAAGUAACCAAUAUGAAUCGUUAAGCAACAAUGCUAAGGGUGCCAAUAAAAUUACAUAUAUUCAAACUUAUUUCUAAAUGCAACAUGCAAAUGUCGUUUCAUUUGUAGUUGACUCAAGUUUAAGUACACAUAUUCAAUACUAGCACGCUUAGAUAGAUGGAUACACCUAUGAGAUCAUGUCAAGUCUCGAUAUAACUGUUUAUAAUUGUCGGAUACAGAAUUGAAAAGACCUGUCUUGACAUACAAGGACAUUAAGUUAUUCUACGCAAAACAUGUAUUGGAUCAAUGCUCUUUUGGCAAUUUUAUUUCGCCAAUAGGUAUCAGAGUUAGGUCUUUCUCUAACUCGGGUGUAUUAUGACAUCUCUACAGCCACAAUGCACCUACAUUCCGUAACAUAGGGACCAGCUCGCCACCAAGGUGAAGGGACAUUAUCUUGUUAGUUCCACCGACAAGCUUCCCGCCAAUGAACACUACCGGCACAGGUGGCCCCUUCCCGAGGAGCUUGAGGAGCGCCCUCUCUAUCUCCUUGCCCUUGGGAUCUUGGUCCAGUUCAUGCACAAAGGCAUUGACCCCAAGGUCACGAAAGAGACGGGUCACAGUGUGGCACAUGCAGCAGGAGCUCAAGGUGAAGAUCACCACUGCCCGCUCCGACGCCAUCUUCAUAACACUGUCCAUCUAUGUGGUCUAGUAUGCGUGCUCGAACCUCAAGGCAAGUAGUUAAUAUGAGCUUGCUGCUAGAUGCUAGGUAGAGACCUUGUGAGUACUUAGCUGUUGCUAGUGUGCUUAAUUGUAUAUGGAAGGAAAUUUGGGAUGGUUUUAGUAGCAUGGGAGUGAUUUCCUUUUAUAGAGUCACAAAUAUUUGUUGAAAGGGCGCUGGUAUGCAUGAGACCAAUCCAGAUAGUACACCUGACUUUAGUUCCAACAGGACCCAGAGAAUUUUGGAAUAUUUUCUUGUGUCGACCUAUAUAGAGGAAUCUCAGAUAUAUGUCUAUGAGAAGGCAAUCUCCCCUUUACAUGGAUUUGGCUUCUUUAGUCCUGUGCAAGGUUUUUGCUACCAGACUGCGUUUUUUACCGAGCUAGGGGUGGGGUGGCAGUAAACGCGGUUACCACAUUAACCGAAAUUUUACCGAAUGGUUACCGGACAAAUUUAAACAAAUAUUUGAAUUCAUGUAAAAGUUGCUCAGAGUUACACUUCCUCGAAACAUUUGUUUGAUGAUUACUAAAACAGCAGGGGUAGAUUAGCUUCGUGAUUUCUCCUCCAUGAUAACAUGGGGAAUUUUGAUAGGAAAAUGUUUUCAUAGAGUACUUCAGCUCUCAAAAACAUAUAUAUACCAAGUUAAAAAAAAUUUGAUGCCAUGGUGAUGAGCUAUUAGCACGUACUAAGAAACAAAUGUGUCAGUGAUGACAACGAUGAGUCGAUGAGGAAUGCCGAUCAAUACAGUACGGUACGGCCAUAUGCGUUGCCAGGAACCGAUUCCGCACCGACCAGCUGAUAUAUCGAGCUGCCCUCGGAGGAACCGGCGAUGAGUCGCCUCAGUUUUAGAAUAGCAUCCACUUAGCUCAUCACAAACACUUAUCUGCAGGAACAGAACAUAUCCAAAACUUCCUGCUUUUUUCGAGCCACACAUCAUCUGCGGCCCGAUGCCAAACGAUCUGAUGACAGACUAAUCCUUGCCUUUUCUCCCCAUCCUCAUCGAAAUCUUCCUGUAAAAAUUCUGAACAAGAGAUCCUAUGGGACACUUGCAGCCGGUGUGAUGUUGCAAGCAUCUGCAGAAAGUGAGAUAUAGAUUGUCAAUUGGACCUUUUUUCCUUCCUUUUUUUUGGUUUUUAAGACAUGACGCCAACACACUGGCACAGGCAGAAAAAGAUGCAUUUUCUGUAUGAAAAGAAAAGAGGAAUCUGGUAUUCGAUCUAGCAAGAAAUAAAGAGCGCGAGAGUAGAGCAAUCUCCAUUGCUCUAGAAUCUUAUCACUAAUUCUUCACUAAUUCUUGGCUCCUCACCUUCUCAAGGGGUAGUCUUAGGAAGUUAGCUAGGCUCUUGGCUCUGCAACUAGAAUUCAUAUAUGUGGUACCUAGCUAGCUAAGAUCAAAUCUUCUGUUCUUCCUUGCUGCAAAAGAGGAAUACUUCUUCGAUUUAGACAUACUAUUCCGGGUGUUAAUUAUCGUCUUCUCUCUAAAAGUAGAAAUACAGAUGUUGAUAGGGUGUACUUAUGAUUUAUACUUUCACAUGUGCAUCACAAGGCCUAUCCUAGCUAUAGGCUCCUAGCUGCUACAUUAAUUCCUGCUAUAUGGAUGCCUUGAUGUGCCGACACCUAAGAGGAUCUUAUGCCAUUUCUCAAAGCAGAAAAGACGACCUAGCAUGUAAGUUUAUUCUUUAAUCUUUGAUAGGACUGUUUAUCAGAAUAUCAAUUUUGAUGAUACAUAUUAUCGAGGCCCCUUCAUAUUUGUGACUCGAAAUUUCACUUCAAAUUCAAGCAAAAAUCAAACUUUGGUCAAAUAUGUACAUAUAUCAUCAGAUUCUGAUGAUAUUCAUAAUUAUUUCCAAAGACCAAAUUUUUCGCUUCCCUUCGACCCUCUUUGGCAAAGAAAUGCACGCUGUGAUAAUUUCUUCAAAUAAAAUCGAUUGAAUUAAGAAAAAUCAGUGUACGCUUAAUAACCUGGAAUCAAAAUUGCCCAAAAGUAGGCACUUGUAAUUAGCAAUCAGUGUACGCUUAAUAAAUUCAUCGGAUCCUACCUAUUAGAUGAUUUGCUUUUCAGAUGGAAGCUUCAUACACUUGUAAGUUGAAUUAUCACAAGUGUUGCUAGAGGCAACAAACGACGACGUAGGAAGUCCGUAUACAUACUCAAAGAAAACGUCUUCAAGAAAGAGAGACGACACUCGUACGAGACUGGUGUUGAGGUUGACAGGGGGUCCAUGCAGCGAAGAUAAGACCAAGGGUUCACCAGAAAAGCCAACCUCCAAAAAGACCUUUAAAAUGGGAAUAAUAUAUAUGCACAUAUGUUGAAAUUUCCGGAUUUAGUUAGUGAAAUUAAGGUCAAGGGUGUACCUAACAGAAACAAUAAGAUUGUUAACGGAUCCAAAACUAGAUCAGUUUCUGCAAAGUCGCGUGCUGUCAAUCAUCCCAUGCCCGCACACACCCAUCUUGUUCGACGUGAUCACAGUGCUGAGCAAGGCAUUGUCAGCAACAAUCUGAUGCACCGUGAUAACUGACUCCUAAUGCCAGCUGCCAACUUAAUUAGGGAGCACCACCCGCCUUAGAUAAUCACCUAGCUUUUACAUGGAGAAGAUGAUACAUGACUUAAUCCUUAAAUGUACGUUCGAGUAUGGCUGGUGAGCUACUGAUGCGAACCGGAUAGUUUCCGUCUAUCUGAUUAGUGAAAGACUCCGAGGAGAUAGGGAAGGCUGAUUAGACACAUCCCAACGAAGACACCAAGGAAAAAGAUCCAAAAUGGGAGAUACACACAAGACUAGGAAGGUAUGAAGGUAGAAGACUUAUCAGGGUUUUGGUUACAAGGUGGCAUUUUUUAUUCCGCCAAGUAAUCCCAAUGCCCCCAGAAAUGGGUUUAAUGGUAAAAGAUUCUCUUUUUAUUUGUUUCAGUUUAAGUAUGCUAUGGUUUCAUCUGCGAAAUGCAAUACAUAAUUAUCUUUCUAAAAAUGAAUUUAAAAUUUGAUAAGAAAACCCCUUGGAUAAAUGUAUUUUCGGUUACCUCCGCCAAUCUCAUCCCCCCAUGGAAGAAAAUGGUGAACCGGUGCGUGAAACCUUAGGACUCAUCGCACGGUAGUUCUCUGGAUUUCUGAAUUUUGUGACCAAGGUAGUACAUCAUCUAAAAAAACAGUUGGAACAGGAAACCAAAUAUAUUUAUCAUUCGAAGACACCUUGAAUGUAUGUCAUCCCUUAGAGAACACACGGUACUCUUAUGGUUAUGGCUAGCGGCAAUACAAAACUUCUUGUGCUCGCCCUCUUCGAUCCAACUGUAUGAUCGAUAUGCUCAUCUUUUGAAGUAGUGCAAAAUUUACUAAAUGCAGAAUCCGAUGAACCGACUGAUAUGCAUGCCGUUCUCAGAGCCAUAUGGCCCCGGCAGCCUUGAGCAUGGGCACGAGCUUGCCACCAAGGUGCAGUGACAUGAUCUUGUCGGUGGAGCCGACGAGCUUGCCGCCGAUGAAGACGGCGGGGACUGGCGGCGAGCGGCCUCCGAGGCGGCGUGCGAGGUCCCGCUCCAUUUCACGGCCGCGGGGGUCCUUGUCCAGCUCGUGCUCCGCCACCGCCACACCGAGGUCGGAGAAGAGGCUGGUCACCGUGUGGCACAUCGGGUACUCGCUCGCCGUGAAGAUCACCACCGCCUUUUC
rnacentral:lncRNA from 1 species